GGGACAUAUUAUCACAGGCAGUUUUAUAGAUCUUCAUUUCAACUGUUUAAACCAUGAUUCUAAACAUGACAUGGUGGUUCGAAACUUAACUUGGAAACAAGAUAAGGUCAAAGUUUUCCAUCUCAGACUAAACAUUGCCAUCUCUGCAGAACCGAGCACCGAGUCCAAGGAAACCUUUCCAUGUCUAGCAUGGAGAAUUGAUGCCAAUGAAGCUAGUUAUACACACAUAUAUAUUGCUGUAAAACCAAUUAUUCUAUGUAUCAUAAAUCUCUAGAUUUCAAUGAAGUUGUAAUGUACACAUUUAGGGAGUAUCAAUUUUAUCUGCUAGAUAUAUAUAUCAUUUUUAUCA